rnacentral:rRNA from 1 species
AGAAUCAACGCUGGCGGCGUGCCUAACACAUGCAAGCCGCUACGAGAAAGGGAGCAAUCCCUGAGUAAAGUGGCGCACGGGUGAGUAACACGUGAAUGAUCUACCUCCGAGUGGGGAAUAACUGAGAGAAAUCUUAGCUAAUACCGCAUAACACUUACGAGUCAAAGCAGCAAUGCGCUUGGAGAGGAGUUCGCGGCCGAUUAGUUAGUUGGCGGGGUAAUGGCCCACCAAGACGAUGAUCGGUA